UAGUCAGUAAUCUACUUUUAAAAAAAAGUCGUGAUAUAGAGAAGAUUAGCAUGGCUCCUGCGCAAGGAUGACACGCUUAAACCUAGAAUUGGUCCAUAUUUUU